UACGGGGGGAGCAAGCGUUGUUCGGAUUUACUGGGCGUAAAGGGCGCGUAGGCGGUCAGCACAAGUCAGUUGUGAAAUCUCCGGGCUUAACUCGGAAAGGUCAACUGAUACUGUGCGACUAGAGUGCGGAAGGGGCAACUGGAAUUCUCGGUGUAGCGGUGAAACGCGUAGAUAUCGAGAGGAACACCUGCGGCGAAGGCGGGUUGCUGGGCCGACACUGACGCUGAUGCGCGAAAGCCAGGGGAGCGAACGGG
rnacentral:rRNA from 1 species